rnacentral:rRNA from 1 species
AGUGAACGCUGGCGGUAGGCCUAACACAUGCAAGUCGAACGGCAGCACAGUAAGAGCUUGCUCUUACGGGUGGCGAGUGGCGGACGGGUGAGGAAUACAUCGGAAUCUACUUUUUCGUGGGGGAUAACGUAGGGAAACUUACGCUAAUACCGCAUACGACCUACGGGUGAAAGCAUGGGAUCUUCGGACCUUUCGCGAUUGAAUGAGCCGAUGUCGGAUUAGCUAGUUGGCGGGGUAAAGGCCCACCAAGGCGACGAUCCGUAGCUGGUCUGAGAGGAUGAUCAGCCACACUGGAACUGAGACACGGUCCAGACUCCUACGGGAGGCAGCAGUGGGGAAUAUUGGACAAUGGGCGCAAGCCUGAUCCAGCCAUACCGCGUGGGUGAAGAAGGCCUUCGGGUUGUAAAGCCCUUUUGUUGGGAAAGAAAAGCAGCAGGUUAAUACCCCGAUGUUCUGACGGUACCCAAAGAAUAAGCACCGGCUAACUUCGUG